UGGGGUGGUACGUCCUCUGGACGGUAGGGUUCUUGUGCGAUUUGGCUGAUUGGCUCAGGUCGCUUUGGUUGUUCCGUCACGUCUUCUGGUCUGAAUGGUUCCUGGGAGAUCGGUCCUGCCGGUUUCACUGGUGUUGGUUCUUCAACAUCUUCAGGCCUGUAGGGUUCUUGCGCAAUUUGGCUGAAUGGCUCAGGUCGCUUUGGUUGUUCCGUCACGUCUCCUGGUCUAAAUGGUUCCUGGGCGAUCGGUCCUGCCGGUUUCGCUGGUGUUGGCUCUUCAACAUCUUCAGGCCUGUAGGGUUCUUGAGCGAUUUGGCUGAUCGGUUCAGGUCGCUUUGGUUGUUCCGUCACGUCUUCUGGUCUGAAUGGUUCCUGGGCGAUUGGUCCUGCCGGUUUCGCUGGUGUUGGCUCUUCAACAUCUUCAGGCCUGUAGGGUUCUUGUGCGAUUUGGCUGAUUGGCUCAGGUCGCUUUGGUUGUUCUGUCACGU